ACAAUAUACAAGUGCCGCCAUCUAGGCAG
rnacentral:sRNA from 1 species